GUGGGAGCGAGCUUGCUCGCGAUGGCGGACUGUCAGCCGACAUCCAUGUUGAGUGGUCUACGGCUAUCGCGAGCAAGCUCGCUCCCAC
rnacentral:misc_RNA from 1 species